rnacentral:lncRNA from 1 species
CCUUCUUCUUCCUUCCAGUGUUCUGUCUUUGUAAUAACUUUUAAAAUGAUGGUUUCUGUAACAUCUGUUAGGUCUUUGUAAAGGUGGCAUGGAGAUAAAUGUUCUGGAAAGAACUAUUUUCUUGGCACUGAUACAUGAAAAGUAGUUUAUUUUCAGAAUGCACAAAUGCUUAUUUUGUUGGUCUUCCUGUUUUCAACUACACACAACAGAUUAAUUGAAAAGACUAUUUAUUUAUUUAUUUACAGGUCAGUCAAGACAUGUUUCCUAUAAUAUGGCUGAAUAGUUUACCUGCUUUCUGGAAGCUGGUUCUAAAUUUUCCUCAGUCCAUUACAGAAUUUUUGAUGCUAUUGACAUCUGCUGGUAUGAUAGAUACUAAAUGCUUCAUACCUUCUGAGUCAUCUAACUUCUGCAAUACUUUCCCCACAUGGAAAGUUGAGUAAAUGCAUGGGAACCAUAAUUAAUGGUCCCAGCAAAGUCAAAAUGGAUUACAAUAUUGGUUUCGGAUCAGACAUUGACUUCUUUACCCUCUUGGGUUCUGGGUAUGUCAUAACCUUAUACAAAAAGAUUUACUCCUUUCUUAAGCAUUUCACGUAAGUAUGAGUUCAACAUCCGUCUUGAUAAUCUGUUCCAGUUGUGAUUGCCCACUUAUUAAUAUGCUAUUGCAAUGAUGAAUUUGUGUCCCUUCACCUUUAUGUCACUCCAUGUUUUUUAUGACUUUGCCAGCAAUACCAAAAUAGUCCAUCAGAUAUCCUUUUCAUCUGCAAGUACUAAAACACAAAAAUCAAGUAAUCUCUCAGCCUUACAAUGAGUUGGGAAAAACAGACAAACACUGUACUUCUUAGAAUUCAAGGUGACUCUAUUUGUAAUUCCUUAUUCAUUUGAUGUCCAUACCUAUAAAUAGGUUUAGUAAUUCAUAUAUCUUUUGCAAUGAGGACAUAGUAUUCAAGAAGACUGCUUUACAAAGUAGCAAAAUCAUUCUCUGGUUUCUACCAGAUAUUCCUGUUAUACAUCUUCAAAGAUUUCAUUAGUCCUUUUUGCUACAGUACCGCACUAGAGGCUGCUCUUUGGGACAGUAAUAAACUGUGCUCUGUAGUUCCUUGCCUGAAUCA